CAAAGUAACAUCGCAAACAUAUUAUUCACCUGAGUACACAACACCAACACAGAAAAAUUCAUAUUACUAGAACACAUUGGUAUUGAAGGAACUAGAUACUGUUCCGAGAUAUCACUUACUCGAACCGUCCUGACCGCGUAGCUCAGUUGGAAGAGCAUUGGGCUGGUAUUCCAAAGGUCGUAGGUUCGAAUCCCACCGUGGCCGGGCAUAUUUUUCAAGCUCGCCCGGUGUGGAUAUGCACUCAGAGUAACAUGCAAACAUAUUAUUCACCUGAGUACACAACAUCAACACAGAGAAAAAAGAAAUUCAUAUUACUAGAAGAUAUUGGUAUUGAAGGAACCAGAUACUGUUCCGAAAUAUCACUUACUCGAACCGUCCUGACUGCGUAGCUCAGUUGGAAGAGCAUUGGGCUAGUAUUCCAAAGGUCGUAGGUUCGAAUCCUACCGUGGCCGGGCAUAUUUUUCAAGGUCGCCCGGUGUGGAUAUGCACUCAGAGUAACAGCGCAAACAUAUUAUUCACCUGAGUACACAACACCAACACAGAGAAAAAAAAAUUCAUACUACUACAACAUAUUGGUAUUGAAGGAACUAGAUACUGUUCCGAAAUAUCACUUACUCGAACCGUCCUCACCGCGUAGCUCAGUUGGAAGAGCAUUGGGCUAGUAUUCCAAAGGUCGUAGGUUCGAAUCCCACCGUGGCCGGGCAUAUUUUGAAGCUCGCCCGGUGUGGAUAUGCACUCAGAGUAACAUGGCAAACAUAUUAUUCACCUGAGUACACAACACCAACACAGAGAAAAAAAAAAUUCAUAUUACUAGAAGAUAUUGGUAUUGAAGGAACCAGAUACUGUUCCGAAAUAUCACUUACUCGAACCGUCCUGACUUCGUAGCUCAGUUGGAAGAGCAUUGGGCUAGUAUUCCAAAGGUCGUAGGUUCGAAUCCUACCGUGGCCGGGCAUAUUUUUCAAGGUCGCCCGGUGUGGAUAUGCACUCAGAGUAACAUCGCAAACAUAUUAUUCACCUGAGUACAAAACACCAACACAGAAAAAAAAAAUUCAUAUUACUAGAACAUAUUGGUAUUGAAGGAACUAGAUACUGUUCCGAAAUAUCACUUACUCGAACCAUCCUGACCGCAUAGCUCAGUUGGAAGACCAUUGGGCUAGUAUACCAAAGGUCGUAGGUUCGAAUCCUACCGUGGCCGGGCAUAUUUUUCAAGGUCGCCCGGUGUGGAUAGGCACUCAGAGUAACAUCGCAAACAUAUUAUUCACCUGAGUACACAACACCAACACAGAAAAAAAAAAUUCAUAUUACUAGAACAUAUUGGUAUUGAAGGAACUAGAUACUGUUCCGAAAUAUCACUUACUCGAACCGUCCUGACCGCGUAGCUCAGUUGGAAGAGCAUUGGGCUAGUAUUCCAAAGGUCGUAGGUUCGAAUCCCACCGUGGCCGGGCAUAUUUUUCAAGGUCGCCCGGUGUGGAUAUGCACUCAGAGUAACAGCGCAAACAUAUUAUUCACCUGAGUACACAACACCAAUACAGAAAAAAAAAAUUCAUAUUACUAGAACAUAUUGGUAUUGAAGGAACUAGAUACUGUUCCGAAAUAUCACUUACUUGAACCGUCGUGACCGCAUAGCUCAGUUGGAAGAGCAUUGGGCUAGUAUUCCAAAGGUCGUAGGUUCGAGUCGGGCCGUGGCCGGGCAUGUUUUUCAAGCUCGUCCGGUGUGGAUAUGCACUCAGAUAACAUGGCAAACAUAUUAUUCACCUGAGUACAGAACACCAACACAGAGAAGAAAAAAAUUCAUAUUACUAGAACAUAUUGGUAUUGAAGGAACUAGAUACUGUGCCGAAAUAUCACUUACUCGAACCGUCCUGACCGCGUAGCUCAGUUGGAAGAGCAUUGGGCUAGUAUUCCAAAGGUCGUAGGUUCGAAUCCCACCGUGGCCGGGCAUAUUUUUCAAGCUCGUCCGUUGUGGAUAUGCACUCAGAGUAACAUCGCAAACAUAUUAUUCACCUGAGUACACAACACCAACACAGAAAAAAAAUUCAUAUUACUAGAACACAUUGGUAUUGAAGGAACUAGAUACUGUUCCGAAAUAUCACUUACUCGAACCGUCCUGACCGCGUAGCUCUGUUGGAAGAGCAUUGGGCUAGUAUUCCAAAGGUCGUAGGUUCGAAUCCCACCGUGGCCGGGCAUAUUUUUCAAGCUCGCCCGGUGUGGAUAUACACUCAGAGUUACACCACAAAUAUCAUAUUCACCUGAGUACACUACACCAACACAGAAAAAAUUCAUAUUGCUAGAACAUAUUGGUAUUGAAGGAACUAGAUACUGUGCCGAAAUAUCACUUACUCGAACCGUCCUGACCGCGUAGCUCAGUUGGAAGAGCAUUGGGCUAGUAUUCCAAAGGUCGUAGGUUCGAAUCCCACCGUGGCCGGGCAUUUUUUUCAAGCUCGCCCGGUGUGGAUAUGCACUCAGAGUAACAUCGCAAAACAUAUUAUUCACCUGAGUACACAACACCAACACAGAAAAAUUCAUAUUACUAGAGCACAUUGGUAUUGAAGGAACUACAUACUGUUCCGAAAUAUCACUUACUCGAACGGUCCUGACCGCAUAGCUCAGCUGGAAGAGCAUUGGGCUAGUAUUCCAAAGGUCGUAGGUUCUAAUCCCCCGUGGCCGGGCAUAUUUUUCAAGCUCGCCCGGUGUGGAUAUGCACUCAGAGUAACAUGGCAAACAUAUUAUUCACCUGAGUACACAACACCAACACAG
rnacentral:lncRNA from 1 species